AGUGAACGCUGGCGGUAGGCCUAACACAUGCAAGUCGAACGGCAGCACAGUAAGAGCUUGCUCUUACGGGUGGCGAGUGGCGGACGGGUGAGGAAUGCAUCGGAAUCUACUUUUUCGUGGGGGAUAACGUAGGGAAACUUACGCUAAUACCGCAUACGACCUACGGGUGAAAGCAGGGGAUCUUCGGACCUUGCGCGAUUGAAUGAGCCGAUGCCGGAUUAGCUAGUUGGGGGGGUAAAGGCCCACCAAGGCGACGAUCCGUAGCUGGUCUGAGAGGCUGAUCAGCCACACUGGAACUGAGACACGGUCCAGACUCCUACGGGAGGCAGCAGUGGGGAAUAUUGGCCAAUGGGCGCAAGCCUGAUCCAGCCAUCCCGCGUGGGUGAAGAAGGCCUUCGGGUUGUAAAGCCCUUUUGUUGGGAAAGAAAAGCAGCAGGUUAAUACCCCGCUGUUCUGACGGUACCCAAAGAAUAAGCACCGGCUAACUUCGUG
rnacentral:rRNA from 1 species